AUGAACGUUGGCGGCAUGGAUUAGGCAUGCAAGUCGAGCGCGAUAGGUUUGGUGCUUGCAUUAAACCUUGAAAGCGGCGAAAGGGAGAGUAACGCGUANNGUAUCUGCCCCCGGGACUGGGAUAGCGGCGGGAAACUGCCGGUAAUACCAGAUAAUGUCUCCGGACCAAAGGUGUGAUUCCGCCUGGGGAUGAUCCUGCGUCCUAUUAGNUAGUUGGUAGGGUAAUGGCCUACCAAGACGAUGAUGGGUAGCGGGCGUGAGAGCGUGGCCCGUCUCACUGGGACUGAGAUACUGCCCAGACACCUACGGGUGGCUGCAGUCGAGAAUCUUCCGCAAUGGGCGAAAGCCUGACGGAGCGAUGCCGCGUGCGGGAUGAAGGCCUUCGGGUUGUAAACCGCUGUCAGUGGGGUGGAAAUUGUUUGGGGUUAUCCCCAUUCAUUGACCUAACCGCAGAGGAAGUCCGGGCUAAGUACGUGCCAGCAGCCGCGGUAAUACGGAGGAUCCGAGCGUUAUCCGGAUUUAUUGGGUUUAAAGGGUGCGUNGGUGGUUUAAUAAGUCAGCGGUGAAAGUUUGCAGCUUAACUGUAAAAAUGCCGUUGAAACUGUUAGACUUGAGUGUAAAUGAGGUAGGCGGAAUGCGUGGUGUAGCGGUGAAAUGCUUAGAUAUCACGCAGAACUCCGAUUGCGAAGGCAGCUUACCAAGCUACAACUGACACUGAAGCACGAAAGCGUGGGGAUCAAACAGGAUUAGAUACCCUGGUAGUCCACGCAGUAAACGAUGAUUACUAGCUGUUUGCGAUACACAGUAAGCGGCACAGCGAAAGCGUUAAGUAAUCCACCUGGGGAGUACGCCGGCAACGGUGAAACUCAAAGGAAUUGACGGGGGCCCGCACAAGCGGAGGAACAUGUGGUUUAAUUCGAUGAUACGCGAGGAACCUUACCCGGGUUUGAACGCAGAGAGACAGGAGUGGAAACAUUCUUUUCAGCAAUGACUGUCUGCGAGGUGCUGCAUGGUUGUCGUCAGCUCGUGCCGUGAGGUGUCGGCUUAAGUGCCAUAACGAGCGCAACCCUUAUCUUUAGUUACUAACAGGUCAAGCUGAGGACUCUAGAGAGACUGCCGGCGUAAGCUGUGAGGAAGGUGGGGAUGACGUCAAAUCAGCACGGCCCUUACAUCCGGGGCGACACACGUGUUACAAUGGUAAGGACAAAGGGCAGCUACCGGGCGACCGGAUGCGAAUCUCUAAACCUUAUCUCAGUUCGGAUCGGAGUCUGCAACUCGACUCCGUGAAGCUGGAUUCGCUAGUAAUCGCGCAUCAGCCAUGGCGCGGUGAAUACGUUCCCGGGCCU
rnacentral:rRNA from 1 species